rnacentral:rRNA from 1 species
GACGAACGCUGGCGGCGUGCUUAACACAUGCAAGUCGAACGGGAUCCAAAGGCUUUUUGUUUUUGGUGAGAGUGGCGACCGGGUGAGUAACACGUGAGUAACCUGCCCCCUUCUUUUGGAUAACCGCAUGAAAGUGUGGCUAAUACAGGAUAUUCCAGGCUGGUCGCAUGAUUGGUUUGGGAAAUGGUUUGGUCUGGUGGGGGAUGGGCUCGCGGCCUAUCAGCUUGUUGGUGGGGUGAUGGCCUACCACGGCGGUGACGGGUAGCCGUCCUGAGAGGGUGGGCGGUGAAACUGGGACUGGGAUACGGCCCAGACUCAUGCGGGAGGCGGCAGUGGGGGAUUUUGCACAAUGGGCGGAAGGCUGAUGCAGCGACGCCGCGUGAGGGAUGAAGGCUUGCGGGUUGUAAACCUCUUUCGCUGGGUUGAAAGGCCAUGCUUUGGGUGUGGUUGAUUUGAACUGGUAAAGAAGUACCGGCUAACUACGUG